GGAGGCGACUAGUUCAACUGGUUAGAGCGUCGGUUUGUCAAGCCGUUUCAAUCCACGCCUCCA
rnacentral:tRNA from 1 species